rnacentral:rRNA from 1 species
UACGUAGGGUGCAAGCGUUGUCCGGAAUUAUUGGGCGUAAAGAGCUCGUAGGCGGUCUGUCACGUCGGCUGUGAAAUCCCGAGGCUCAACCUCGGGUCUGCAGUCGAUACGGGCAAACUAGAGUAUUGCAGGGGAGACUGGAAUUCCUGGUGUAGCGGUGAAAUGCGCAGAUAUCAGGAGGAACACCGGUGGCGAAGGCGGGUCUCUGGGCAACAACUGACGCUGAGGAGCGAAAGCGUGGGGAGCAAACAGG